UAGCCCUACGGGACGCAGCAGUGGGGAAUAUUGGGCAAUGGGCGCAAGCCUGACCCAGCAACGCCGCGUGAAGGAAGAAGGCUUUCGGGUUGUAAACUUCUUUUCUCAGGGACGAAGCAAGUGACGGUACCUGAGGAAUAAGCCACGGCUAACUACGUGCCAGCAGCCGCGGUAAUACGUAGGUGGCAAGCGUUAUCCGGAUUUACUGGGUGUAAAGGGCGUGUAGGCGGGGACGCAAGGCAGAUGUGAAAACCACGGG
rnacentral:rRNA from 1 species